AACGAACGCUGGCGGCAUGCCUAACACAUGCAAGUCGAACGAGACCUUCGGGUCUAGUGGCGCACGGGUGCGUAACGCGUGGGAACCUGCCCUUAGGUUCGGAAUAACUCCCCGAAAGGGGUGCUAAUACCGGAUAAUGUCUUCGGACCAAAGAUUUAUCGCCUUUGGAUGGGCCCGCGUUGGAUUAGCUAGUUGGUAGGGUAAAAGCCUACCAAGGCGACGAUCCAUAGCUGGUCUGAGAGGAUGAUCAGCCACACUGGGACUGAGACACGGCCCAGACUCCUACGGGAGGCAGCAGUGGGGAAUAUUGGAAAAUGGGCGAAAGCCUGAUCCAGCAAGGCCGCGUGAGUGAUGAAGGCCUUAGGGUUGUAAAGCUCUUUUACCCGGGAUGAUAAUGACAGUACCGGGAGAAUAAGCACCGGCUAACUCCGUG
rnacentral:rRNA from 1 species